rnacentral:rRNA from 1 species
GAAUUGACGGGGGCCGCACAAGCGGUGGAGCAUGUGGUUUAAUUCGAUGCAACGCGAAAAACCUUACCUACCCUUGACAUCCAGCGAAGUUCUUAGAGAUAGGAAUGUGCCUUCGGGAACGCUGUGACAGGUGCUGCAUGGCUGUCGUCAGCUCGUGUCGUGAGAUGUUGGGUUAAGUCCCGUAACGAGCGCAACCCCUAUCCUUAGUUGCCAGCACUUCGGGUGGGAACUCUAAGGAGACUGCCGGUGAUAAACCGGAGGAAGGUGGGGACGAGGUCAAGUCAUCAUGGCCCUUAUGGGUAGGGCUACACACGUGCUACAAUGGGUGGUACAGAGGGUCGCCAAAGCGCGAGGUGGAGCCAAACCCCUAAAACCACUCGUAGUCCGGAUUGGAGUCUGCAACUCGACUCCAUGAAGUUGGAAUCGCUAGUAAUCGCGAAUCAGCAUGUCGCGGUGAAUACGUUCUCGGGCCUU